GACGAACGCUGGCGGCGUGCUUAACACAUGCAAGUCGAACGAUGAAGAAGAGAAACGCGAACUUCGGUUCAACUUUCACUUCGGAUUAGUGGCAGACGGGUGAGUAACGCGUGAGCAACCUACCUCUUACAAAGGGAUAGCCUCGGGAAACCGUGAUUAAUACCAUAUGACACAUUCAUAAGGCAUCUUAAGACUGUUAAAGCUACGGCGGUAAGAGAUGGGCUCGCGUCCCAUUAGCUAGUUGGUGAGGUAACGGCCCACCAAGGCGACGAUGGGUAACCGGCCUGAGAGGGUGAACGGUCACAUUGGAACUGAGACACGGUCCAAACUCCUACGGGAGGCAGCAGUGGGGAAUAUUGCACAAUGGAGGGAACUCUGAUGCAGCGACGCCGCGUGAGCGAUGAAGGAAUUCGUUUCGUAAAGCUCUGUUCUAUGGGAAGAAAAGGACUGUACCAUAGGAGAAAGCCCCGGCUAAAUACGUG
rnacentral:rRNA from 1 species